rnacentral:rRNA from 1 species
UACGGAGGGGACUAGCGUUGUUCGGAAUUACUGGGCGUAAAGGGCGCGUAGGCGGCCUAUUAAGUCGGACGUGAAAUCCCUCGGCUCAACCGGGGAACUGCGUCCGAUACUGGCAGGCUUGAAUCCGGGAGAGGGAUGUGGAAUUCCAGGUGUAGCGGUGAAAUGCGUAGAUAUCUGGAGGAACACCGGUGGCGAAGGCGGCAUCCUGGACCGGUAUUGACGCUGAGGCGCGAAAGCUAGGGGAGCAAACGGG